rnacentral:rRNA from 1 species
CAGGCCUAACACAUGCAAGUCGAACGGUAGCGGGCCUUCGGGUGCCGACGAGUGGCGAACGGGUGAGUAAUGUAUCGGAACGUACCAUUGAGUGGGGGAUAACGUAGCGAAAGUUACGCUAAUACCGCAUAUUCUCUCCGGAGGAAAGCAGGGGACCGCAAGGCCUUGCGCUCUUUGAGCGGCCGAUAUCAGAUUAGCUAGUUGGUGAGGUAAAGGCUCACCAAGGCGACGAUCUGUAGCGGGUCUGAGAGGAUGAUCCGCCACACUGGAACUGAGACACGGUCCAGACUCCUACGGGAGGCAGCAGUGGGGAAUUUUGGACAAUGGGGGCAACCCUGAUCCAGCCGUGCCGCGUGAGUGAAGAAGGCCUUCGGGUUGUAAAGCUCUUUCGGCCGGGAAGAAUCGCAUGGGCUAAUACCCUGUGCGGAUGACGGUACCGGCAUAAGAAGCACCGGCUAACUACGUGCCAGCAGCCGCGGUAAUACGUAGGGUGCGAGCGUUAAUCGGAAUUACUGGGCGUAAAGCGUGCGCAGGCGGUUUUGUAAGACAGGCGUGAAAUCCCCGGGCUCAACCUGGGAACUGCGUUUGUGACUGCAAGGCUAGAGUACGGCAGAGGGGGGUGGAAUUCCACGUGUAGCAGUGAAAUGCGUAGAGAUGUGGAGGAACACCAAUGGCGAAGGCAGCCCCCUGGGUCGAUACUGACGCUCAUGCACGAAAGCGUGGGUAGCAAACAGGAUUAGAUACCCUGGUAGUCCACGCCCUAAACGAUGUCAACUAGGUGUUGGGUGGGUAAAACCAUUUAGUACCGGAGCUAACGCGUGAAGUUGACCGCCUGGGGAGUACGGCCGCAAGGUUAAAACUCAAAGGAAUUGACGG